rnacentral:rRNA from 1 species
AUGCACGCUGGCGGCGUGCCUAAUACAUGCAAGUCGAGCGAACAGACGAGGAGCUUGCUCCUCUGACGUUAGCGGCAGACGGGUGAGUAACACGUGGAUAACCUACCUAUAAGACUGGGAUAACUUCGGGAAACCGGAGCUAAUACCGGAUAAUAUAUUGAACCGCAUGGUUCAAUAGUGAAAGACGGUUUUGCUGUCACUUAUAGAUGGAUCCGCGCCGCAUUAGCUAGUUGGUAAGGUAACGGCUUACCAAGGCAACGAUGCGUAGCCGACCUGAGAGGGUGAUCGGCCACACUGGAACUGAGACACGGUCCAGACUCCUACGGGAGGCAGCAGUAGGGAAUCUUCCGCAAUGGGCGAAAGCUUGACGGAGCAACGCCGCGUGAGUGAUGAAGGUCUUCGGAUCGUAAAACUCUGUUAUUAGGGAAGAACAAAUGUGUAAGUAACUAUGCACGUCUUGACGGUACCUAAUCAGAAAGCCACGGCUAACUACGUG